CAAACAAAAAUCUUUCAUAAGGCGUUUUUUCUCUUAAUACAUUUUUUCUUUUCUUAUGCUAGUAACAUUUACUCUGUAUUGGCCUUCCUAAGAAGAAGUUGGAUAGUAGCAAUGUGUUCGUGAGACUGCUGAUAUCUUAAAAGAAUGUUCUCAUAGAUUCCACUUUUUUAGUAAGCUUUUAUGUGUAUGAGUUUGCAAAUUUAACCCUUUUUAAUUCGGAUAGAUUUAUAAGUCACACCUUCAAGUACAAUCGACAAAAUUUCAGUAAUAAUUACGGUUUAGGGUUUAUGGGUCUAGAUCUACUAAAAAUGAGUGGGUGUAUAAAUUAGUAUAUCCUAGAGUUUAUUAUCUUACGUUCGAUCUUCUUUGCAGAAACUCGUGCAUGUUCGUGAUAUAUAUUUUCGCGAGAAGUACAUUUCCCUAAAACAAAAUCAACCACUGACAUAAACACGUCAAAUGUAAGCCGGUAAAUCCAAGCUUUACUAACACGAGUUAUAUUAUAUCAUUGGCAUCAGCUACUUAAGAACUACUGUAGAAAAUUUACAGCAAGUCAUCGAGGCUUAAUAAAAUGUGUUGAUAUAGUUACAAAGAUAAAUUAAAUAGCAGAGCAUACAUGAAGAGAACAAAUGUAGAGCAACCCCUUAAACAAACCCUCUCAGUAAGGUAUCUUCACAUUACUCUAAGUUCAUAAAAGAUGACUUUAAAAACGAUUAUUUCAAAAUGCAAGUAUUCUCCGACCCCUUUUUCCCGGAUCUAGAUCUAAUAGUGUAAGGAUAUAUAUAAAUCAUUGUCACAUUUUACAACUCAAGAGUUUACCUCAACUCGUUUUGUUUAGGUAAAUUCGACUCGAGAACUCGUAUGACUUUACCUAAAAUUAAAAUUAUAUAAAAUUUAUUAUAUAUGCAUGACAUAUGUAAGUUAAUAUAAUAUUGUAAAUAGGUCAAUAGUGCAAAAUAUGACUUAAUUACAAAGACAAAUUAUACCAUAAUAAAAUGUUAUGCUCAACUUAGCUUCAAAAUACAAAAAUUAACGCACAAAAUCAUAAGUCUCUAAGUUUAAGCCAUCCAUAAAACCAUCCAAAAAAAGAAAGUUUCACAAGUUCCUAAAGUUAUUAAUAAAACUAUCUAAAAAAUAAAGUAGUUAAUUUCUUCAAAACGUCAACAAACACCACCACAACAACCCUAACCAGUGUCACAAUCACCGGCGUUGAAAUAUGAAUUUCCACCGUCUGAAUCACAACCCUAAAUGGUAUGUGCUCCCCUGUUCAUGGUUUGAGAACUUAGAAAAGAAAAAGGGCAAUCCGGUGCACUAAAGCUCCCACAUACGCAGGGUCCGGGAAGGGGUCCCACCAUUUUUUGUGUAUUGUACGCAACCUUACCCUGUUUUUGAUCACAAAAGAAAAAGAAACGUUUCAUUUUAGGAACAACUUGUCACUGUAAAGGUAACUAUUAAUUAAACGUUUCAGUCUUUGGGGUUGUAGAAAAGGAAUUGGAUUUUGAAAAAAAUGGGCACAUAAAAAGGGCCAAUUUUUAGAUGUAAACUCGUAAAACUCAGUAAACUCGGUCGAGUUUACACGAGUUUACCUAGUGUUAACUCGGUCAAACUCGUUAAACCUUCCAAUUUUACCAGAAACCGAGUUUACCUCCGAAUUAACAUGAUUUUGGCACCUACGUAAACUCGAAGAGUUAACACUCAAUUUGCGGAACAUUGCAUAUAUAUUUAAAGAUAUAUGUAUAAUUAUAGAGAAAGUAGAGAAGGGAUAUACCAUUUUAUGUAGGGUUAUUAUGUAUCAAAUCAUAAAGAGUCGAGAGUUGUAUUAUACCAUAAUAUUCUUCCGUAAACUGGUAGUCAUGAUCAUGACGUAUAUUAUUCAAGUAUAUGCAAAAACAUGUCUGUAUCUAGUCUAAAUUUUUGACCAAAUGCAUGUAUUUGCUUAUAUUUUGUUACUACUUACUACUCGCCAAGUAAUGCUCAAUAUCUAAUAUAUAUAUUUCAAGACCAUCAAAGAUAACUCAGUUGAACAAUACAUAAUAUAUGCAAGGUUCGGGGUAUAUUACAUUUUCAAUUAUUCUAAUAAUAAAUUUAAAUGACACUUAAAUUAUACAACUAUUAAAUAGAUCUUAGUACCGUAAAAUUUAUAUUCGAGACUUGCUAGGGAGAACCAUCAACCUCAACAAAAAUUUCUACUUGAAUCUAACGCAAACAAAAGGUCCAACCAUCUAUGAAUCUCCGUUGAUAUCACAAAUGAUGUUUGAUACAAGAGAGACAUAUUAGAACAUAAUCUAUGUACAAUCUACAUUAAAAUAAAAAACAAGUCUACAGUCAUAUAAAUAACACAAUUUCAAAAUCUCAAAAUUAGGUAUGAAAACAAAAUGAUUAGAAAAAUAAAUGAUUCAAUCAUUCCGAGAUUUGUGCAAAAAAAAAAAAAAAAACAUUUUGAAAAUACAAUGUUAGAAACUUAUGAUCAAUAUAUAUUUUUCCUUACACAUCAAAAAUAAUUAAGCUAUAUUCUUGUCUUUUCAUUUUGGGCAAACUAAAAUUAAAAUCAAGGUAGUGUCAAUGUUUCUAUAGUCCUAGCUAUUUGAUUUUCUUCUAAGCUAACAAGAGUCUUCCAAAAUCAAAUUCGCGCUCAAAAUUAAAGCAACUUGGGUGGUAACCAUUCCAAAAUACUUAGGGCCACAUUGCUCUAAAAGUCAAUAAGAAUAAGUAAUAAUUCAAAGAUAGCCAACCUUAUAGUAUAUUUUAAUAUGAAUGUAUGCAUGUUUCCUAGAAGGUGAGUAAGCUAACUAAUCAAGAUACUUUGUUGGAGUUAAAUAUGGUAAAGAAUCCAACUAUAAAAUGGGGACUUGCCCCAGCAUUCUUUCACAAACCAAAACCAACUUCUAAGAAAAAAAUGAGGUCCCUAAUGGCCUCUGCUUCUCUCACUCUUGCAUUAGCCAUCCUCUUUUUGAGUUUCCCAUCUGAAAUUUCAGCAAACAAAUACGCAUAUUCCUCUCCACCACCACCACAUUACUCAUCUCCUCCACCUCCACCGGUUCACACUUACCCUAAACCAGUCUACCACUCUCCACCACCACCAGUUCACACCUACCCUAAACCAGUUUACCACUCUCCACCACCACCAGUUCACAAGUACCCUCACCCUAAACCAGUAUACCACUCUCCACCACCCCCAGUUCACAAGUACCCUCAUCCACACCCAGUCUACCAUUCUCCACCACCCCCAGUUCACAAGUACCCCCAUCCUCACCCAGUGUACCACUCUCCCCCACCACCACCACCAAAGAAGUCCUACAAAUACCCAUCUCCCCCACCACCACCAGUUCACACCUACCCUAAACCAGUCUACCACUCUCCUCCACCCCCAGUUCAUCACACCUACCCUAAACCAGUCUACCACUCUCCUCCACCCCCAGUUCACACCUACCCUCACCCUAAACCAGUCUACCACUCUCCACCACCCCCAGUUCACACUUACCCUAAACCAGUCUACCACUCCCCACCACCACCAGUUCACACCUACGUCCCUCACCCUAAGCCAGUCUACCACUCUCCACCACCACCAGUUCACACCUAUCCCCCACAUGUUCCCCACCCAGUUUACCAUUCUCCUCCUCCUCCAGUUCAUUCCCCACCUCCACCACACUAUUACUACAAAUCACCUCCUCCACCUUACCACAACUAGAUAGCCCAUAAUUGGCAUCACACCAUAUGGUAACUUUUCAUGCAACAUAUAUAUUAUAACUUUUCAUAUUCUCUCUUUAUUAACUAGUUAUCGGUAUGAUUGUCGAGUAUAUACUAACAAGGCUAAUUUGAAAUGAAACUUCAUGUGCAAUGAAACAUUCUUUUACUGGUUAAUAUUUUAUUCUAUGUUUCAUUGAAAUUAAUAUUUUUCUAAUAGUAUUUGGUUAUUAAGGGAUUAGAGUAUAUCAGACAUAAACUGACAGAUCAAUAUAUUUGC
rnacentral:lncRNA from 1 species